rnacentral:rRNA from 1 species
AACGUAGGAGGCAAGCGUUAUUCGGAUUUACUGGGCGUAAAGGGUGUGCAGGCGGUUCGGAAAGUUGGAUGUGAAAGCUCCUGGCUUAACUGGGAGAGGUCGUUCAAAACUUCCGGACUAGAGGAUGAGAGAGGAAAGCGGAAUUCCGAGUGUAGUGGUGAAAUGCGUAGAUAUUCGGAGGAACACCAGUGGCGAAAGCGGCUUUCUGGCUCAUUUCUGACGCUCAUACCCGAAAGCUAGGGUAGCAAACGGGAUUAGAGACCCCGGUAGUCCUAGCCGUAAACGAUGUAGACUUGGCGUCGGUGGGGUAAAAUCCAUCGGUGCCGGAGCUAACGCGAUAAGUCUACCGCCUGGGGACUACGGCCGCAAGGUUAAA